rnacentral:rRNA from 1 species
GUGGGGAAUAUUGGACAAUGGGCGAAAGCCUGAUCCAGCAAUGCCGCGUGAGUGAAGAAGGCCUUCGGGUUGUAAAGCUCUUUUACCCGGGAAGAUAAUGACUGUACCGGGAGAAUAAGCCCCGGCUAACUCCGUGCCAGCAGCCGCGGUAAUACGGAGGGGGCUAGCGUUGUUCGGAAUUACUGGGCGUAAAGCGCACGUAGGCGGUCUUUUAAGUCAGAGGUGAAAGCCCGGGGCUCAACUCCGGAAUUGCCUUUGAAACUGGAAGACUUGAACACGGGAGAGGUGAGUGGAAUUCCGAGUGUAGAGGUGAAAUUCGUAGAUAUUCGGAGGAACACCAGUGGCGAAGGCGGCUCACUGGACCGUUGUUGACGCUGAGGUGCGAAAGCGUGGGGAGCAAACAGGAUUAGAUACCCCAGUAGUCC